GAUGAACGCUAGCGACAGGCCUAACACAUGCAAGUCGAGGGGCAGCACAUGAGUAGCAAUACGAUGGUGGCGACCGGCGCGACGGGUGAGUAACACGUAUGCAACCUGCCUUCUACUAUGGGAUAACCCGUUGAAAGACGGACUAAUACCGUAUAAUACAGGGGCUCCGCAUGGAGAUAUUUGUUAAAGAUUUAUUGGUAGAAGAUGGGCAUGCGUAUGAUUAGAUAGUUGGUGAGGUAACGGCUCACCAAGUCAACGAUCAUUAGGGGUUCUGAGAGGAAGGUCCCCCACACUGGUACUGAGACACGGACCAGACUCCUACGGGAGGCAGCAGUGAGGAAUAUUGGUCAAUGGACGAGAGUCUGAACCAGCCAAGUCGCGUGAAGGAAGACGGUUCUAUGAAUUGUAAACUUCUUUUGUGCAGGAAUAAAGUGGGUUACGUGUAACCUUUUGUAUGUACUGUACGAAUAAGGAUCGGCUAACUCCGUG
rnacentral:rRNA from 1 species